GUUGGUGUAGCUCAGUGGUAGAGUGCUUUGUAUGUAAGAUGUCCUGGGUUCAUUCCCCAGCCUCUCUU
rnacentral:tRNA from 1 species